CAUAGGUGAUGCAUCAAGGAGCAAAACUGCACUCCUUUAACACUACCACUUUGAAAAUGCAUCUAAAGAGCCGUCAUCCUGAACAGCACCAAGAGUCUCUGGAAGCUCUCCCACGCGACGGCCUAAAUCACUGAACGCCUGCACAGAGGUUGAGUGAGCUCUGACCUGUUACGCCGAAAACCUCUGCACGACAGCCUGAUCAAGGAGGAUCUACUCUUUGUAAAGAGAGAUCCGGUUCUUCUGGGAUGACUGAUGCUGACUCCUCUUCCCACUACCGCCUUCCUCUCAGAGUUUUAAACACCACAAAGAAAUCAUUACCAAGAAACCUGCAUUAAUUUGAAUUAGAUAUGAUUAGCAGGCCUUCAGCUGUUUAUCGUUGGACAUGCGGAUGCGGCUUGGAUCCGGUCGGAGCAGGACGCCAUGACAAGUCCAACAUCCAUCAAGCCUGCACGUGUGCUGUGACGCUCAGGCUUAGCCCUCCCCCUCUCCUGGCUGCAGUUUAAAUAUCAGGUUUAAUUAGUGUGCAACCUGCUGUGUGUGCAGCAGGAGUCCUGGUAUGUAUAGUCACAGUCCUACAAAAGCUGCACACCCAGGAAGCUGAAGACCUUCUAAAGGGUAACACUCUGCAGCUUUAACUCAGGUGUAAGGUUCAAUAAAAUGUGUGAUGCACACUCUCACUGAAGGGUUUAAUGAGCAUUUAUAUAUUUGGUAUAUUUGCAUUUAUAGGCUGCAUGCCAGUCAGUUACAGGGAUGAAUGUUAUGCAGGAAGCAGUAAAGUAAUAAUGAAUAACUUUCCAUUGCAAAAUAGUAAGAAGAAGAAUAUAACAGCAUGCA